UUUCAUGAGAGUUUGAUCCUGGCUCAGGAUUAACGCUGGCGGCGUGCAUAACACAUGCAAGUCGAACGAUGAAACUUUAAUGAACCCUUCGGGG
rnacentral:rRNA from 1 species